AUCGCAAACAGCAAAAGCCGAGUUCACCUGAGUUUUUGCCUAGUGGCCGCCCAUCUUCGUUGCCACCACCACUAGGAGCAAUGGCUCCUCCCGCAUGACAGACGCGACCUCCUUAAUUACCGGCGAACAUAUGGUUGUUUGGACCUCCUGCUGAAAAAGUUUGCGUUGGACAAGCAAGCAGCGAGGUAACGGGUUCAUUCCGCUCCUAAAAUCCACCAAUAUGGCAGCAACCAAACAACUUUUCGAGCGGAUGGUUAAGGAGAAAAAUAUUGUCACUGACAUGCUGGAAAAACUGGAGGCUAAAACCGGAAUUCAGAAGGAAUUUCUUGCUAUUGGUAUAGCUGUAGUCCUUUCACUCUAUAUGGUGUUUGGCUAUGGUGCCUCUCUGCUCUGCAAUUUGGUCGGAUUUGUGUAUCCAGCGUAUUUUUCAAUCAAAGCCAUUGAAAGCAGAAACAAAGACGACGACACUCAGUGGCUGACAUAUUGGGUCGUUUAUGGAAUGUUCAGUGUCGCAGAAUUCUUCUCGGACAUCUUUCUGUUCUGGUUUCCAUUCUACUACGCUGGAAAGUGUGUGUUUCUAGUGUGGUGCAUGGCUCCGGUAUCUUGGAAUGGGUCCCAGAUGAUCUACACUCGUGUGGUGCGACCGUUCUUCCUCAAACAUCAAGCCACGAUGGACAACAUGGUCCACGACCUGACGGGCAAGGCCAAGACUACUGCCGAAUCGCUCACAAAAGACGUCGCAGGUAUUAUUACUGGACCAGGGCCAAGUACGUGAGGAAGGCUAUUGAGGAUGAGGAGACCAAUCAGUGUAGUCCUCAUGAGCAGAGAUGGACAAAUGUCAACCGUUUGGACAAGGAGACAUGAUGCCAUCAAUUUUGGACUCAAACAAGAGUAAUCUCAUUAAACGAUUCACCGAAUGAA